rnacentral:rRNA from 1 species
UACGUAGGGUGCGAGCGUUAAUCGGAAUUACUGGGCGUAAAGCGUGCGCAGGCGGUUCGUUGUGUCGGCGGUGAAAGCCCCGGGCUCAACCUGGGAAUGGCCGUUGAAACUGGCGAACUGGAGUGUGGCAGAGGGGGGUGGAAUUCCGCGUGUAGCAGUGAAAUGCGUAGAGAUGCGGAGGAACACCGAUGGCGAAGGCAGCCCCCUGGGCUGACACUGACGCUCAGGCACGAAAGCAUGGGGAUCAAACAGG